rnacentral:rRNA from 1 species
AUUGAAAGCUGGCGGCAGGCCUAACACAUGCAAGUCGAACGAGUGGCGGACGGGUGAGUAAUGUCUGGGAAACUGCCUGAUGGAGGGGGAUAAAUACUGGAACCGGUAGCUAAUACCGCAUACCAUCAGAUGUGCCCAGAUGGGAUUAGCUUGUUGGUGGGGUAACGGCUCACCAAGGCGACGAUCGCUAGCUGGUCUGCGAGGAUGACCCGCCACACUGGAGCUGAGUUACGGUCCACACUCCUACGGGAGGCAUCAGUGGCGACUAUUGCACCAUGGGCUCCACUCUAAUGCGGCACUGCCGAGAGUAUGAAGAAGGCCUACGUGUUGUAAAGGACUUUCAGCGGGGAGGCGUUACCCGCAGAAGAAGCACCGGUUAACACCGUGCCAGCAGCCGCGGUCAUAC